GUAAGAACAAUUUUAUUUCUUCGUGUCUUUUUGAACAGUGCCAACAAUAAAACAUUAAGUAAUAUUAGGAAACUGACAGUAACAGUAAACUUAUUGCAAAAUAUUUAGUAAACCAACAAUAUGCAAAGACCUCCAUGCACAGCCAGGAAGGAGUCCACGGUGCAGCAGUGGAUGAGGCCUGGAGGAGGCCAAAGCACACUGUGACGCGUCUGCUGCUGUCACAAGCACAGCCGCACCGCUGCACUCCUCCACUCUCCUCUCUCCUGUCUCUUCCCUGACCUCGGAACCAGGGAAAGUUACGGAGCAAAUCAUCUCAGUACAGAUCACACGGCACGUGCAUGACAUCCAGGGGAUCGGGCCCGGCCAGCACGGGCUCAUGAAAGGCACGUUGUGCUUGCCCAACAUCAUCUCCUUCUAUGACCGUGUGACCGGAUUGGUAGAUGAGGGAAAGGCUGCUGAGCUAGUCUACCUAGACUUCAGCACGGUCUUCCACAGUAUCCUCCUGGGGAGAAUUUUGUUUGCAUCGGACAUUUUUUAAUAGAUUGCUUCUGUUUAUUCAUGCAUCACCGGAAGUGUUACUAAAAGAGAAAGAUAUGCUAUUAAAUCAAAAGCAAACAAAAUCUUGUGCUUGUGUGGUGUUGUCAGAGCCGAGGUUCCUUUAAUCCGUAUUUUGGAAGGUGUGCUUCACAGCAUUCAAUUGGCUUGGCUGAGUAACGAGACCCGGAUCCGCGCUGGCAGCAUGUGCUACCUGAACAUCUUAUGUGUACCCGAGGGCUCCAGCAGAAACAAUGCAGGUUGGGGCUAAAAAACAAUUGGAAGGAAUCUAUAAAAGGAAACUGAUCGCCAGCCAUGAUUCAAAGAUGCGUGAUCAGACACCUGGGCUCCCCAAAGAAAUUAUAAAAGCACCCCCUCAGUUUGUCCAGGUCUCUCUGCAAGGCCUGCGCACCCUCAGGGAAUCAACAGUUCCUCCCGGCUCAGUGUCAUUCACAGAGUUGUCUCCUAUACUUUCAAUUCCUGUAUCCAACCAAUUGCGGAAAACGUGAAAGACAACUGGCCCUAAAAUGGAGUCCUAUGGAGCUCCUUGCAGUUCCACGGGAUGAACCCGUGCGGGUCUCGAAGACUUGUAUGCAUCCAGCUGCAGCAGCAAACCCUACACAAGUUUGGGGUUGUCUGGGGGUUUAUUCUUAUCAGUCACAGUCCUCCAACUCAUGUCUCUGGGUUUCCCAGAGCUCAUCAUCCAUGUCGAAGACAGUGGUGAGGAAGGCAUUAAAUGUCUCUGCAGCCAUUUCUGCUCCACAUGGUGGAGCAGGCUGUCCCCCUGCAGCCCGUGAGCACUGCGCAGGGCAGACCUCCAGGCACAGCCAGGAAGGAGCCCACGGUGCAGCAGUGGACGAGGCCUGGAGGAGGCCAAAGCACAUGGAGCAGCCCUGGGCUGGAGCUGCAGCCCACGGAGAGCAGCCCGCAGUGGGGGCGGAGGCCAGGGGGAGCUGCCACCCACGGGGACCUGGGCGGAGC
ensembl:lncRNA